rnacentral:tRNA from 1 species
UGGAAGAUGGUGUAUUGGGGCACGAAGGGUUUUGGUCUCUUAUGUAUAGGUUCAACUCCUAUUUUUUCAG